rnacentral:rRNA from 1 species
UACAGAGACUGCAGGCGUUAUUCGGAUUCACUGGGCGUAAAGGGUGCGCAGGCGGCCAAGUGUGUGAGGUGUGAAAGCCCGGGGCUUAACCCCGGAAUUGCACCUCAAACUACUUGGCUAGAGCAUUGGAGAGGGUAGCAGAAUUCACGGUGUAGCAGUGAAAUGCGUAGAUAUCGUGAGGAAUACCAGAGGCGAAGGCGGCUACCUGGACAAUUGCUGACGCUCAGGCACGAAAGCGUGGGGAGCAAAAGGG